AACGAACGCUGGCGGCGUGCCUAACACAUGCAAGUCGAGCGAGAAAGCCCGCAAGGGUGAGUAAAGCGGCGCACGGGUGCGUAACACGUGGGUAAUCUGCCCUGGAGCCCGGAACAACUCGCCGAAAGGCGAGCUAAUGCCGGAUGAGACCACGGGGGCUUCGGCCCCUGAGGGAAAAGGUUGCCUCUGUACACAAGCUAUCACUUCAGGAUGAGCCCGCGGCCCAUCAGCUAGUUGGCGGGGUAAUGGCCCACCAAGGCCACGACGGGUAGCUGGUCUGAGAGGACGGUCAGCCACACUGGAACUGAGACACGGUCCAGACUCCUACGGGAGGCAGCAGUGGGGAAUCUUGCGCAAUGGGCGAAAGCCUGACGCAGCAACGCCGCGUGUGUGAUGAAGGUCUUCGGAUCGUAAAGCACUGUCGCGAGGGACGAAUAAGCCUUUGGCUAACAUCCAGGGGCGAUGACGGUACCUAACGAAUAAGAGGUUGCUAACUCUGUGCCAGCCGCCGCAGUAA
rnacentral:rRNA from 1 species